GACGAACGCUGGCGGCGUGCUUAACACAUGCAAGUCGAACGGAAAGACCCUGCUUUUGUGGGGUGCUCGAGUGGCGAACGGGUGAGUAACACGUGAGUAACCUGCCCUUGACUUUGGGAUAACUUCAGGAAACUGGGGCUCAUACCGGAUAGGAGCUCCUGCUGCAUGGUGGGGGUUGGACAGUUUCGGCGGUUGGGGAUGGACUCGCGGCUUAUCAGCUUGUUGGUGGGGUAGUGGCUUACCAAGGCUUUGACGGGUAGCCUGCCUGAGAGGGUGACCGGCCACAUGAGGACUGAGAGACGGCCCAGACGCCUACGGGAGGCAGCAGGGGGAAAUAUGGCACAGUGGGCGGGAGCCUGAUGCAGCGACGCCGCGUGCGGGAUGACGGCCUUCGGGUGGUAAACCGCUUUCGCCUGUGACGAAGCGGGAGUGACGGUAAUGAGUAAAGAAGCACCGGCUAACUACGUG
rnacentral:rRNA from 1 species